rnacentral:sRNA from 1 species
CACCUGAAACCGGAAUUCAGGAGGGUAACCUACAGA